GAUAAUUUUCUGGAUGUCUUCUUUGCUUAGUAUACACGGUAUUUUAUACAGAAUGGAAUCGAAUAUUAUUUCAUAAUGAAUUCAGCAAGUCAAAUAUCAUGAUUUGAUGCACUUUGUUCCGGAAAACACCCAAAGUCAUAUCAUACUGUUGGGUACGUGUUACAACGCAACGGUUAGUUGUGUGAAGAUUGCUUGUUUGAAGCCUGUCCAGUUCCAUCCCUGCUGUCCUUCAUAAAGGUUUAGGCUAGGACGUAAUCCACACACAGACAUUUAAUUGAAAGAUCUCAUUUCAACGGAUCACUGCAAGAUGGCAUACUAUUUUACUUUACAGCAAAAUGAGGCUUUUGUAAUGAAGAUUCUUGUCUUGGCUGCUUUUCUUUUAGAUUUUUCUUUUUCUACUGAUUGUAUAGAAGAAGGAAGAAGUGAAAUUCUACAUUUUGAACGCAAUCAUACUUCAGGAGUGGACAUAAAAGUUGCUUGGUACAAAGGUGACAGCAUUGUCUCAAUAUGCUCUGUUACUGACGGAUGUAAUGAUCUAGAUCGAAACACAGUUGAAUCAUCAUUUGAGUUUUUUAAAGACAACAGCACAUUUACAACUUGUAUAGUUAUUAAAAAGAUAUUGAGAACUGAUGGUGUUUUGUGGAAAUCAAAAUACCUCGGAGAGGCGAAAAUUGAACACCCUGGUGUGCUCUACUCUCGUAAAUUGACAUUAUGCGGUAUGUGAUCAAAAAUAAUUUUCACAAAACUAUAAAUUUAUGAGUACUAAAUCGCAUUAGUGCUCUUAUAUUUAUUUUCAAAUGGAUAGUGCUAUAUUUUCUUUUCAGGAUCUACGAUACGCCGGAAUUGUUAAGGCCUAAAUUAUUUUUUUUCACUUACAUUAGGCUUAGAUAAAUGCGCAACUUAAACUUAUAUCAUAUAAAAACAAGUAAAUAUUGUAUAUCAUCCACCUUGUAAUUUUAU